CCCAUCUCCUCCGGAGACAGUUCAAUGGCGAUCCUCUUGGUGUUCAUCCUGUGCCUCUGCCUACGCGGAUACUUCAGCCAAUCGGUGACCCAGAGCCCGACAGAAGUGACCAAGAAGGAGUGUCAGUCUCUCACCAUCACCUGCCGUUUCCAGCCUGGUUCUGCAGGCAUAUAUCUCUUUGAUACUGGACAUUUCUUCAAACAGACCCAGUCCAUGACGCAGUGGGAGCCUAUCACAGGAGGGGGACGAUUCAUUGCGUCCACGAAUACAGAUACAAAUACUUUUACACUGGAAGUUCGGGAUCUGAGAGUUGAAGACAGCGCCACCUAUUACUGCAAAGCUGAGUACCUGUGGAAAACACAGUGA